GAUGAACGCUAGCGGCAGGCUUAAUACAUACAAGUCGAGGGGCAGCAGGACGGUAGCAAUACCGUUGCUGGCGACCGGCAAACGGGUGCGGAACACGUACGCAACCUACCCAUAACUGGGGGAUAGCCCGGGGAAACCCGGAUUAAUACCUCGUAACCUUAUGAAGUGGCAUCGCUUUAUAAGUAUAGCUCCGGCGGUUAUGGAUGGGCGUGCGCCUGAUUAGGUAGUUGGCGGGGUAACGGCCCACCAAGCCUGCGAUCAGUAACUGGUGUGAGAGCACGACCAGUCAAACGGGCACUGAGACACGGGCCCGACUCCUACGGGAGGCAGCAGUAAGGAAUAUUGGUCAAUGGACGCAAGUCUGAACCAGCCAUGCCGCGUGAAGGAUGAAGGUCCUCUGGAUUGUAAACUUCUUUUAUAGGGGAAGAAAUCUGAAUAUUCCUAUUCAGUUGACGGUACCCUAGGAAUAAGCACCGGCUAACUCCGUGCCAGCCGCCGCGGUAAGAC
rnacentral:rRNA from 1 species